rnacentral:tRNA from 1 species
GCCCUCGUAGCUCAAUGGAUAGAGCAAUCGCCUCCUAAGCGAUAGAUUCAGAUUCGAGUUCUGACGGGGGUA